rnacentral:rRNA from 1 species
AUCAGUAGCCGACCUGAGAGGGUGAUCGGCCACAUUGGAACUGAGACACGGUCCAAACUCCUACGGGAGGCAGCAGUGGGGAAUAUUGCACAAUGGGCGCAAGCCUGAUGCAGCAACGCCGCGUGAAGGAUGAAGGCCUUCGGGUUGUAAACUUCUGUCCUAGGGGAAGAAACAAAUGACAUUACCCUUGGAGGAAGCCCCGGCUAACUACGUGCCAGCAGCCGCGGUAAUACGUAGGGGGCGAGCGUUAUCCGGAAUUAUUGGGCGUAAAGAGUGCGUAGGUGGCACCUUAAGCGCAGGGUUUAAGGCAAUGGCUCAACCAUUGUUCGCCUUGCGAACUGGGGUGCUUGAGUGCAGGAGGGGAAAGUGGAAUUCCUAGUGUAGCGGUGAAAUGCGUAGAUAUUAGGAGGAACACCAGUGGCGAAGGCGACUUUCUGGACUGUUACUGACACUGAGGCACGAAAGCGUGGGGAGCAAACAGGAUUAGAUACCCUGGUAGUCCACGCCGUAAACGAUGAGCACUAGGUGUCGGGGUCGCAAGACUUCGGUGCCGCAGUUAACGCAUUAAGUGCUCCGCCUGGGGAGUACGCACGCAAGUGUAAAACUCAAAGGAAUUGACGGGGACCCGCACAAGCAGCGGAGCAUGUGGUUUAAUUCGAAGCAACGCGAAGAACCUUACCAGGACUUGACAUCCUCUUGACAGAUCCUUAAUCGGAUUCUUCUUCGGACAAGAGAGACAGGUGGUGCAUGGUUGUCGUCAGCUCGUGUCGUGAGAUGUUGGGUUAAGUCCCGCAACGAGCGCAACCCUUGCCAUUAGUUGCCAUCAUUUAGUUGGGCACUCUAGUGGGACUGCCGGGGAAAACUCGGAGGAAGGUGGGGAUGACGUCAAAUCAUCAUGCCCCUUAUGUUCUGGGCUACACACGUGCUACAAUGGCCGGUACAACAGGCAGCGAACCCGUGAGGGGGAGCGAAUCCCAAAAGCCGGUCCCAGUUCGGACUGUAGGCUGCAACUCGCCUACACGAAGUUGGAGUUGCUAGUAAUCGCGGAUCAGAAUGCCGCGGUGAAUGCGUUCCCGGGUCUUGUACACACCGCCCGUCACACCAUGGAAGUUGGGGGUGCCCGAAGUCGGUUAGUUAAUCUAUCGCCUAAGGCAAAACCAAUGACUGGGGUGAAGUCGUAACAAGGUAGCCGUAUCGGAAGGUGCGGCUGGAUCA